rnacentral:rRNA from 1 species
CAUCCCGAACACGGAAGUUAAGCUCACUUGCGCCGAUGGUACUGCAGGUUAUCUGUGGGAGAGUAGGUCGUCGCCAGGC